GAGAUUCCCCCAGUAGCGGCGAGCGAACGGGGAGCAGCCCAGAGUCUGAAUCAGCUUGUGUGUUAGUGGAACGGUCUGGAAAGUCCGACGGUACAGGGUGAUAGUCCCGUACACCAAAAUGCACAGGCUGUGAACUCGAAGAGUAGGGCGGGACACGUGGUAUCCUGUCUGAAUAUGGGGGGACCAUCCUCCAAGGCUAAAUACUCCUGACUGACCGAUAGUGAACCAGUACCGUGAGGGAAAGGCGAAAAGAAC
rnacentral:rRNA from 3 species